rnacentral:lncRNA from 1 species
UGGAAAUUAAUCCAAUUUCGAAAAACACUAUUUAUGUUCUUCCAUCUUGGUGUUUGUGCUGAAGAAAUCGACUUGCUGUGAGGAGCAAAAAGCAAAGAAGUUUGAAUCUCAGAUCUUUCCGCUUACUGACGUACUCAAUUAUUGAGGUAAUUGUUUACAUUUGUUUCUCGAUCUAUACUACUCUGUGAUAACUCAUCCCACUAUAUCUCGAUCUGAUUAAGGUAUAUGCUUUCCCUAAUUGAAUCUUCAUUCUUCAUUGGCUGAGUUUACUGCAAUUACAUGAUUUGUUUAUCCUUUACGUUUCACUGAGUCUUAAAUAGACCAAGACGGAAGCCUUGGUACUAUGGGAGGUGAAUCUAGAUAAUGGGUUCGUAGGCCUAUCCAUGUAAGGUUUUAGAUGGGAACAACAAGCUUCUUAAGGGCCAAUCAGACCUCUUCAAUAUGAACUUCAUGUGAAACCUCUAAGCUCCAUAAUGUGAAAUCAAUUCUGACAUAUAUUUCUUUUGUGCAUAUUAAAGAAAUGUGUUCUGCUUUAUGACUGUAAAUAAUCAAGGAUUUGAUUUGAGAUUGUAAAGGUAUACUUGCUAGGUUAAGAUAAUAUCAAAAAGAGUGUGUCCAUAGAGAAAUUGGUUUGGAUGUGAUGAGUGUUUAUAAUGGAAACGAAAAAACAUGUUUGUAGGAUCAACUUAUGAGACGCCCAGGUGGUAUGUUUGAUGUGGGUGCAGUGGGCAACACAAGUUUUACCCUAGACAAGCUGCAAG